rnacentral:rRNA from 1 species
AUGAACGCUGGCGGCGUGCCUAAUACAUGCAAGUCGAGCGAACGGACGAGAAGCUUGCUUUUCUGAUGUUAGCGGCGGACGGGUGAGUAACACGUGGAUAACCUACCUAUAAGACUGGGAUAACUUCGGGAAACCGGAGCUAAUACCGGAUAAUAUUUUGAACCGCAUGGUUCAAAAGUGAAAGACGGUCUUGCUGUCACUUAUAGAUGGAUCCGCGCUGCAUUAGCUAGUUGGUAAGGUAACGGCUUACCAAGGCAACGAUGCAUAGCCGCCCUGAGAGGGUGAUCGGCCACACUGGAACUGAGACUCGGUCCAGCCUCCUACGGGAGGCAGCAGUCGGGAAUCUUCCGCAAUGGGCGAAGGCCUGACGGAGCAACGCCGCGUGAGUGAUGACGGUCUUCGGAUCGUAAAACUCUGUUAUUAGGGAAGAACAUAUGUGUAAGUAACUGUGCACAUCUUGACGGUACCUAAUCAGAAAGCCCCGGCUAACUACGUG